UCACUAGGGCUGUCAACAAGCCGAGCUCGAGCGAGCCUGCUGCCUCAAGCUUGAGAUUGACAGAGUUUCAAGCCGAGCCUGAAAUCCAGCCGUGCUUACAAUUAGGCUCAAGCUCGGCUCGGCCAAAGCUCGAGUGAGCUCGAUAUGGUGAAGCACUGGAGCUUCGCUUGCUCCAGCACAAGCAAAGCGUGCAUGAAGAUUAAAAAAUGUGGUCUUU
rnacentral:lncRNA from 1 species